UGCAUUAAAUUAAGCAUUCUCUACACUAAGGCCCUGUUUGGAUGCAUAGUUAAAAAAUUCCAUGAAAUUUUUAUUCUAUGGUUUUGGUCUAAAUGAAAUACAGAAUUCUGUAACUACAAAAAAAAUUCCAUAGUUUCAUUUUUAAGCUGUUUGGAUACAUAUCAUACAAUUUCACAGGAUUUAUAACAAUUAAAUUUCUAAAAUUUUAAAAUUCAAAAUUCAAAAUUCAAAAUUUAAAAAUAAAAUUUUAAAAAUUAAAAUUCAAAAUUCAAAAUAUAAAAUUAAAAUUUAAAAUUUAAAAUUUAAAAAUUAAAUUAGAUUUUAUGUUUUAAAUUUGAAAUUUGAAAUUUGGAAUUUGAAAUUUAAAAUUUGAAACUUUAAAUU
rnacentral:lncRNA from 1 species